rnacentral:lncRNA from 1 species
UGGUGGAGUGAUCAGUCAUCCAUCCCUGCAGCUCCCAGGGGGUUUGCACUGGCUUUGGAGAGCAGGACAGUGAUGCUUCCCCAAGGAAUUGAGUCCCUUUACCUUAUUCCACCCCCUGAGCUCAGGAAGUCCAUAGCACAGGGAAAACUGUAGACAAGGAGAGACCAUAUGGUAAAUAGGUAGGAAAAACGAGGUUUAGAAGCGUCAUGUACCUGUUUCCUGUGUGUUCAGUGUAAAAAUGCUUGCAAAAUAGAGAAAACAACACUCUCCUUCACAUACAGCUGGAUGUGAGAGGACUUCUCCUGGUGGAUCAUACUUUUUGGGUAGAAGCCCUUCCUGACAGCUUGGGGUCCAGGCUAAGCGCGUUUUCCAACCCUUCCCCUGUAAAGAAUACACUGGAUGUUGUAUAUUUGCUCAUUGUUUUAUAUAUAGCUUUUAACCUUGCUUCACAGCAGAAGCUUUCUCAGGGUGAAGUUGUUCCACAGCCUUCCCCAGGUACCUCACUUCAGAGAGCUCUUUAUACUCAGUGAUUCCAGACUGUUCCAGCAUGAAUCCUUCCCCAAGGCCCAAGAGGGCACAGGGGCCAUUCCUGCUUCCCAUCGAGCAGUGUUUACCCACAUUUCACAAGGCAAAAGGGUUCUAGAGGAGAACAGACAUGUUGUUUGGAGGGGACAUGAGUUUCCUGAAGUUUCUGCUGGGUUUAUUGUCUCCUUGAGACUUAAUUGCUGCAGAGAUGGGAACUGAGCACAAAGGAGUUUGCUGCACGCAGCGACCUGCAUCCUGUUCUUCCAUGUGUGGAGGAAAAAACCCCUUUCCUGCUGGGUUUUUUCUGUCUUCAUGUCUCCAUUGUGAAAUGACCCAAACAAAAACAAAACAAGGCAGGAAAAUGUGGCUGAUAUAGAAAGGUUUUAAUGUUCUGCCCUAAUGUGCUUCCUUUUCUCCACGCAGUGGCUGAGAGAAGCAGUGAGUGCAGCAGUGGUAUUCUUGGAUGCCCCACAGAAAAUCCCUGUCUGUGUUCUGAUAAGCCAGCAAAGCCUCUGGAAUACAUGAAUAAAUUAAACCAGUGAAAAAUCCUGCUGAAAUCAGUGGGACAACCUACAUCCAUAACAUUAUGCCUGUGCUGCUGGGCUGUGCCAGCUCUAGGUCCCUGUGGGAAAAAGCAGGCACAGCCACAUUUGCUUUAUGGAAUUUUCCAGAUGUUUGGAGUCUCCAGAAUGUUUCUGCCUUAUUUUUUAAUUAAGGUAUCAAGUAAUUGUUGUAUUCCACUAUGAAAAAGGGAAAAGGAAGCACAAGUGUGAGCCUGAGUGUUAUAAACCGUGUUAUUUAUUCCAGAAAUUCCUCAGUAAAACCUAUAAUUCCAAUUUCUGUUACAACCUUUGUGUAUUCCGGGGUGUGUACUUUUCACAACGGAGUAUGGGAGCAGGUCUAGCCUAGGGAAGGCUAAUUUGUGCCUCGGUUUGGUUUGAGGUCUCUCUGGUCGAAGAUUUCCUGAUGUAGCAUCCUUCAUCCCGGUGCAGUUACAUGUGGAUAAUCUCAUGUCUCCUUUUCUUCCUGCCACAAACCCAGCAGGAAUGUUUUGAUCCAUUCCUCAUUGGAGUUAUCCAGGGGCCUGGGGAAUCCCAUUGGCUAAAGCAGACAGGAACAGAGACGGAUCGUUUGGUACCCUGUCUUACAGCUGGAGGAGACAGGAUGUUCAUCCCGGCCCAAGGGGCUUUUCCCAGGGGACCGGCACAGCUACCUCUGCUCCCCGUCCUUCCAUAGAAACAAGGACAAAGCCAGAGCUACAACUGUCCCACUGCCACCACAGCAGGACAGGGCCGAUUUGCUUUGUACAUAUCAAGUGGUUUGUGAUGAAGUUGUAUUUUUACAGUCCACCAUUAAGACAGUUGCCUCUGCCUUGAAGAAUGAGGUUGUCCAAUGCGUUGAUCAACUCUGUGUGUUGCUUUUCUGAUGAGACACAAUAAACCCUGACCAGAA